rnacentral:rRNA from 1 species
GAGGGAAUAUUGGUCAAUGGGCUUACGCCUGAACCAGCCAAGUCGCGUGAGGGAAGACUGCCCUAUGGGUUGUAAACCUCUUUUAUGCGGGGAUAAAGGCGUCCACGUGUGGAUGUUUGCAGGUACCGCAUGAAUAAGGACCGGCUAACUCC